rnacentral:rRNA from 1 species
UUUAAAAUGCUUAACGUAAAAACAACAAAAUUAUAUAUAAACAACCAUGUGUUAAAAAAGUUAUUUGAAAUAAACUUUAUCCGUAUACGUACCAAAGAUUGGAGUAAGUACAACAGGGAAACUAGUAUAACGAAAAGUCUCUCUCGCUUCCGCAUAAGGUCAUACCGUUAAUGUCCUUUCUCCGACUUCUGAACGUAAGACAACAGAGUAUAGACAUAGUCCUCUUCAUACUACAUCGUCGACAACAACCAGUGUCGUUUCCUCCUCUACACCAACAAGAAAUACGAAGGGAUAUACUGCUACAGGCAUACCAACAAUUGGAUAGGCCGGCUAAAAUAAACCUCUUUCCGUAACUCCUUGCGGAUCCCUUUCUUAAAGAACUGUCUUAUUUAUUCCUUCCAAUGUAACUACAGUGUUUGUUCAGUCCUUUACAAAAUAUGUCCCAUUGUUUUCUCUCGAACUACCUUGCUGACUUGUGACUGUACGCACGUUGUUCGGAGAGGUAAUCGUUCCUUACGUCGAAGAAGUAUCAAGUACCAAGACGACUACUCUAGUAAGGGCACCUUCUACGUAUACUCAAACGUUUCGUAUAUGGCUGGGUGUUUGACACACAGUAGCUCCCUCGUCUAGUGACGAUGUGGUCUGUAGCAUUUCUUGAAAGACUACGACAUCACCCAAAGUAAUGUAGGUUGUUCUGGUCACUAUGGUGCGAUCUUCUAGUUACUUAAGACUACCUAAAGACGACAUCCUAAAACAUGUUGUCAAGACGAAAUGUCUUCGAGGGGAGGCUUGUUGUGGUGUUAAGAUCUAGUACCAGUAAGAUGAAGAAUCAAGGCCCUAUAUUAUUCGUUAUUUCGUAACGUUCCGAAAUCCAAACGCAAUAAAUAAUUGAUUUAUCAACCUUUUCAUACGACAUUUUAUACACCUUGAUAAUAUCUCUCCACAAAACUUGGAACCCGACACACCUGACUUUAAAAGUAAAAUUUUUUUAGUGUAGGUUUCACAUUAUUAAAGACUUUUGUUAAGGUGUACAUG